rnacentral:rRNA from 1 species
UUCGGUGUUGAGUGGCGAACGGGUGAGUAACACGUAGAUAACCUGCCCUUAAGACGAGGAUAACCAUUGGAAACGAUGGCUAAAACUGGAUAGGAAUAUUGGAGGCAUCUCUAAUAUUUUAAAAGACCUAGUAAUAGGUAUACUUAAGGAGGGGUCUGCGGCGCAUUAGUUAGUUGGUGAGGUGAUGGCUUACCAAGACGAUGAUGCGUAGCCGGACUGAGAGGUUGAACGGCCACACUGGAACUGAGACACGGUCCAGACUCC